rnacentral:antisense_RNA from 1 species
UGUUUCAAAAUUUUUUUGAGAGAUAGGAUCUCGCUUAGUUGCCCAGGCUGGUCUUGAACUCCUGGGCUCAAGCAAUCUUCCCACUUUGUACCCCCAAAGUGCUGGGAUUACAGGGGUAAGCCACCGCACCCAACCUCAAUCUUCUUGUGAUCUGUUAUGUUGGCAACCAAGACAGCUACUUAGUGGUUGAUGGGUGGACAGUGUAUACAGCAUGGACACACUGGACAGAGGCAUGACUCAAUGUUCCAGUAUUUUCAGAUUUCAGGUGACUGCUGUAACUUGAAGCAAGAAAAGUGAAACUACAGAAAAGGGAGGGCCACUGGACUGCUGCUUUCAUUCUACGCCCACUUUUUAGAGUGCAUUCCCACAAUAAGCACUCUAACAAUGUAAACCAGGGGCCAAGGGAUGCACCUUCCACUCUACUUCCUUCC